GUAUGAAUAAUUCACAAAAAGAUUACCGAUUGUUUCCAACGCCAAUUGUUGCACAUUAAAGUAUAAAAAUAGAUUUAAUUUCGCUAGCUGAUCACAAACGUUGGCCGGAGUGAGAUCCAAUCAACGCUUGUGUUGUUACCUUGUUGAAUUGAUUUGGCCAAUCACGUUAUUCGUUGAACCGGCGUCGCGUGACUCGCGUCAGUCUGAAGGCAAAUGAGUCUACAACCCAACCUGGAGAUACCGGUGUGUCUCGGCAAGACAACGUCAAGACACGGACAGGACAACAUCAUAUCUUUCCACACCCAAAUGACUACAGAGGUGAUCGUUGAAAAUCAUCACAUCAACAGCACCAUGAAUGGAGCAGGUCAAGAUCAUAGAGUUGCUUAGUAUCCACAUCACAGAUGACCCAUCUUGAUCUAUCGACACCACCAACAGAACCUGGCCAAGAAAGUCCAAAAACCUCUGCACUUCCUCCCACAGUUUAGGAAGGUGUGGAAUCUCCCACAAAUCCAUCCCCUUAACUUUCUAUAGGGGAAUCAUAGAGAGCCUCUUCCUUUCACCCCCACCCUCCAAUAACCUAAGGGCAGCUGAUUGACUCUUGCACAAAUACACUGGUAGUUUACACUAUGAUGCUGCUACAUUGGUUUAUUUUUUUUAUUUUUAAAUUUGCUAUGAAUAUUUGACCCCACUUACACACAUAUUGCACUGCCUUUUGCUACUUGUCAUGUCAUCCACUUUUGCACUGAAAUACUAUAUUAAUUAGGGAUGAGUCACGAUUUUCGAAUAUUCGAUUAGUUGAUUUUAUUAUAGAAUAUUGAAUAGGAUGUACGGGAUGAUUGUCUUUAAAAAAUCCCCAUGUUUUAGUUGUGGUUAUAAGUUGCAAUCCUAAAUUCACAUAAUAUUUGUAUACAUUUUAUAAAUAUUCUUAAUAUUUGUUGUCUUUGUUUCUAUGUUUGAGCUUGUAUAUCUCAAUAUUAAUAACAGUCUGGUUAAUUUUGAGUCUUGAAAUGUAAACUCUCAAGGGUUGGCUUUCUAAAUAUAUGUUGGUUAUGUGUAUAUUCAGAAUGACUUCUGAGCAGCAACCUUUUUAUUUUGGGGAUGUCAUGAAUGCAUCACUUGCCAAAAUUGGGGCUGACUAGUAAGGGGUUAAACGUAUAUCAAUGAAACGUUUUAUAUAAAAAUUAUACAUUUGAUACAAACCUU